rnacentral:tRNA from 1 species
GCAGAAUUAGUGUAGUGGUAGCACGCAAGACUUCAGAUCUUGAUUGAAGAAUCCAAUCUUCAGCGCCGGUUCGAUUCCGGUAUUCUGCUC